ACAGCAGUCGCCGCGGGAAUACAGAGGGUGCGAGCGUUAAUCGGAUUUACUGGGCGUAAAGCGUGCGUAGGCGGCUUUUUAAGUCGGAUGUGAAAUCCCUGAGCUUAACUUAGGAAUUGCAUUCGAUACUGGUUAGCUAGAGUGUGGGAGAGGAUGGUAGAAUUCCAGGUGUAGCGGUGAAAUGCGUAGAGAUCUGGAGGAAUACCGAUGGCGAAGGCAGCCAUCUGGCCUAACACUGACGCUGAGGUACGAAAGCAUGGGGAGCAAACAGGAUUAGAUACCCGUGUAGUCCCUGUCUCUUAUAC
rnacentral:rRNA from 1 species